CUCUGCUAGAUUGCAAAUGACCUACUUUCUUUCUGAUCCUGGGCUGCGUUCCCACCCCUGUCAGAUAGUAAAUCCCAAGUAAGGUACCUGCUUUCAGCAGAUCUGAGCUUUCUUCUUGGACACCUAAAACCCACAGUCCUCCAGGUGUGGUGGACCUCAGUUUUGAGGCUGAGAGUCCUCUGGCGCCCCCUACAGAGCUCCUGGAGAGACUGCCCAGCUAUGACUGGCUUCUUCAAGGGGGCAGAGGACAGAUAUUCUUCCCGCCUUUGGAGGCCCCAGGGAGGCCCCAGGAGCAAAGGUCCUGGCCCUCGUUCCUGGAACACAGAGUCCCUGCGAUGACGGAGGAGGUGGCCCAGGAAGCCCUCCUCAGCUUUGUGGACUCUAAGUGCUGCUACAGCAGCACGGUGGCUGGAGACCUCGUCAUCCAGGAGAUGAAGCAGCAGACCCUCUGCAGGUACCGUCUGGAGACCUUUAGUGAAUCCAGGAUAA
rnacentral:sRNA from 1 species